GAAGCCCUGGGAGGCUUUUAAACUGGAGAAUUAUAUGAUCUGAUCAGCAUUUUUAAAAGGUCAUUCUGGCUCCUGCUUGGAAGAAAGACUGCAGGGGAGGCAGGACUCAAAGCAGGGACCAUUCUCAGUCAGGGGUCUGGGUAAGAGAUAAUGGACUAGAGAGAGAGCAGUGAGAAUGCAGAAAGAUGGGUAAUUCAUGGCCUAUUGGAUGGGACAUGUUGAGGGCUUAGAAGUGGGUGAGCUAGAAAAGAUGAAUCAAGUUUGACAUCUGAGCAACUCAGUGGAGUUUAGUGCUCCUUCUUAAGAUGAGAAAGCAGAGGAAAAAGUUGGGGGACUACUUCAAAAGUUAUAAAUUGGAUAUGUUAAAUGUGAUGUACUUAUCUGACAUCCAAAGAGAGAUAUUAAGUAUGCAGUUGUUUAUAGAAGAAAUUUAUAGGGCUCCAGAGAAACUUAGGCCUGAAGACACAGAUUUGUGAGUCACUGGCAUACAAUGGAUUUAAACCACAGCACUGAGAAACCCUACAGAUGGAGAAGGAAGACAGAAUAGAGAACAGAGCCCCAGGAAGGUUUGGAAGAGGGAAAUAAGCCAGCAAGUGAAAUUGGGAAGAAAAAGCUAAGGAGGUAGAAAGAAAACUAGGAGGAUAUCAUGUGGCAGAGCCCAAGAGAAGAAUUUAUUAUUUGAAGAAAGAGACCUGCAGUGUCAAAAAAGAAUAAGAUGAGGACAGGGAGGUAGCCAUUGGAGGUGACAAUAUGGAGGUCAUCUGAAAUGCUGACAAGAGCUGUCCUGAAGAAAGCCUGUGCCUCUGGUGAUCUUAUAAAUGAAAAUGCUAUUAUCAUAUUGAGAAGAUGAUGGCUGUCUAUGAACAAGGAAGAGAGCCCUUACCAGACAUCAAAUCUGCUCACACCUUGAUAUUGGACUUAGACUCCCGAACUGUGAGAAUUGUCUAUGGUUCAAGCCACCCAGUCUACGCUAUUUUGUUACAGCAGCCUAAACUCACGAAGACAGCA
rnacentral:lncRNA from 1 species